rnacentral:siRNA from 1 species
AUUAAUACUUUAGGACUUAGCUUG